GGACGAACGCUGGCGGCGUGCUUAACACAUGCAAGUCGAACGGAAAGGCCCUGCUUUUGUGGGUUGCUCGAGUGGCGAACGGGUGAGUAACACGUGAGUAACCUGCCCUUGACUUUGGGAUAACUUCAGGAAACUGGGGCUAAUACCGGAUAGGAGCUCCUGCUGCAUGGUGGGGUUUGGAAAGUUUCGGCGGUUGGGGAUGGACUCGCGGCUUAUCAGCUUGUUGGUGGGGUAGUGGCUUACCAAGUCUUUGACGGGUAGCCGGCCUGAGAGGGUGACCGGCCACAUUGGGACUGAGAUACGGCCCAGACUCCUACGGGAGGAAGCAGUGGGGAAUAUUGCACAAUGGGCGGAAGCCUGAUGCAGCAACGCCGCGUGCGGGAUGACGGCCUUCGGGUUGUAAACCGCUUUCGCCUGUGACGAAGCGUGAGUGACGGUAAUGGGUAAAGAAGCACCGGCUAACUACGUG
rnacentral:rRNA from 1 species